rnacentral:rRNA from 1 species
UAGGGAAUCUUCCGCAAUGGACGCAAGUCUGACGGAGCAACGCCGCGUGAGUGAAGAAGGAUUUCGGUUCGUAAAACUCUGUUGUUAGAGAAGAACAGCGCAUAGAGGAACUGUUAAGCGUGUGAAGGUAUCUAACCAGAAAGCCACGGCUAACUACGUGCCAGCAGCCGGGGUAAUACGUAGGUGGCAAGCGUUGUCCGGAUUUAUUGGGCGUAAAGCGAGCGCAGGCGGUCAAUUAAGUCUGGUGUGAAAGCCCCCGGCUCAACCGGGGAAGUUCAUUGGAAACUUGUUUUCUUGAGUGCAGACGAGGAGAGUGGAAUUCCAUGUGUAGCGGUGAAAUGCGUAGAUAUUUGGAGGAACACCGGUGGCGAAAGCGGCUCUCUUGUCUGUAACUGACGCUGAGGCUCGAAAGCGUGGUGUGCUAACAGG